AUGGGGGCAACCCUGAUCCAGCCAUGCCGCGUGUGUGAUGAAGGCCUUAGGGUUGUAAAGCUCUUUCGCCGGUGAAGAUGAUGACGGUAGCCGUAAAAGAAGCCCCGGCUAACUUCGUGCCAGCAGCCGCGGUAAUACGAAGGGGGCGAGCGUUGUUCGGAAUUACUGGGCGUAAAGGGCGCGCAGGCGGCCUAUCCAGUCAGGUGUGAAAGCCCCGAGCUCAACUUGGGAACUGCACUUGAUACUGAUAGGCUAGAAAACGGAAGAGGGCAGUGGAAUUCCCAGUGUAGAGGUGAAAUUCGUAGAUAUUGGGAAGAACACCAGUGGCGAAAGCGGCUGCCUGGUCCGAUUUUGACGCUGAGGCGCGAAAGCGUGGGUAGCAAACAGGAUUAGAUACCCUGGUAGUCCACGCCGUAAACGAUGUAUGCUAGUUGUUGGGGGGAUGCCCCUCAGUGACGCCGCUAACGCA
rnacentral:rRNA from 1 species